AUUGAAACGCUGGCGGCAGGCCUAACACAUGCAAGUCGAGCGGUAGAGAGAAGCUUGCUUCUCUUGAGAGCGGCGGACGGGUGAGUAAUGCCUAGGAAUCUGCCUGGUAGUGGGGGAUAACGUUCGGAAACGGACGCUAAUACCGCAUACGUCCUACGGGAGAAAGCAGGGGACCUUCGGGCCUUGCGCUAUCAGAUGAGCCUAGGUCGGAUUAGCUAGUUGGUGGGGUAAUGGCUCACCAAGGCGACGAUCCGUAACUGGUCUGAGAGGAUGAUCAGUCACACUGGAACUGAGACACGGUCCAGACUCCUACGGGAGGCAGCAGUGGGGAAUAUUGGACAAUGGGCGAAAGCCUGAUCCAGUCAUGCCGCGUGUGUGAAGAAGGUCUUCGGAUUGUAAAGCACUUUAAGUUGGGAGGAAGGGCAGUAAAUUAAUACUUUGCUGUUUUGACGUUACCGACAGAAUAAGCACCGGCUAACUCUGUGCCAGCAGCCGCGGUAAUACAGAGGGUGCAAGCGUUAAUCGGAAUUACUGGGCGUAAAGCGCGCGUAGGUGGUUCGUUAAGUUGGAUGUGAAAUCCCCGGGCUCAACCUGGGAACUGCAUUCAAAACUGACGAGCUAGAGUAUGGUAGAGGGUGGUGGAAUUUCCUGUGUAGCGGUGAAAUGCGUAGAUAUAGGAAGGAUCACCAGUGGCGAAGGCGACCACCUGGACUGAUACUGACACUGAGGUGCGAAAGCGUGGGGAGCAAACAGG
rnacentral:rRNA from 1 species